rnacentral:rRNA from 1 species
GUACACUCCUACGGGAGGCAGCAGUGGGGAAUUUUGGACAAUGGGCGAAAGCCUGAUCCAGCAAUGCCGCGUGAGUGAAGAAGGCCUUCGGGUUGUAAAGCUCUUUUGUCAGGGAAGAAACGGUGAGAGCUAAUAUCUCUUGCUAAUGACGGUACCUGAAGAAUAAGCACCGGCUAACUACGUGCCAGCAGCCGCGGUAAUACGUAGGGUGCAAGCGUUAAUCGGAAUUACUGGGCGUAAAGCGUGCGCAGGCGGUUUUGUAAGUCUGAUGUGAAAUCCCCGGGCUCAACCUGGGAAUUGCAUUGGAGACUGCAAGGCUAGAAUCUGGCAGAGGGGGGUAGAAUUCCACGUGUAGCAGUGAAAUGCGUAGAUAUGUGGAGGAACACCGAUGGCGAAGGCAGCCCCCUGGGUCAAGAUUGACGCUCAUGCACGAAAGCGUGGGGAGCAAACAGGAUUAGAAACCCUAGUAGUCCCAUGAU